GUCCCUUGUGUCUGAAACCUUCAACUCCAGCCUUGAUCUUUAACAAAAUGAUUUCUGCUUUUUGUUCCUAGAUUAGAUUUUCUUUCCAUUAUUAAUAUAUCCAACCAGUUGCACUGUUGAGUUUCAUAUUUGGCAGCUGCUGCCUCCCUUGUUGGUACAGGUUAGAGCUGUGUGUGUGCUGGAUGUGUGAGAGUCAGCAUGGAGGAAGGAGAAUUCACUUUCCACACUGACAGGGAGUGGUGCAGCUUCCAACUGUGCUGCUGUUCUGGUGUUAAAAAUUCAAGAUUUGAGGGAGUUCCCAUGAUCUGUCAGUGCUCACUGGGGUCAGAAGCCAUUAGAAGGCCAGGAAAGGCCCACUGAAGAUGGAAAGUGGUGGCAGAGGUUCUCUGGAUGGGAGAGGCUCACUCCUGCUUUCUCCACAGGACUGUCACAGGUUGGAUUUAUUCCUGAUCCCAGCAGUUUGUCAGGGAUUAGCAAAUCUCAGUGGGCUGGCCCAGCACACACCAGCCCUUGCUGUUUGAGCCUGAAUCCUUCCUGUGACACUGAACCCCCUUUCUGUAGGAACCUGUGGCAGUGUUUGAAGCUCAGGUGUGCCCUGAGCCCUCAGUAACUCACUCAUGUUCCUGUGCCUCUGGUCUGAACACCUGGGAGCUUGUAACCCAUGUUCCAUGAGCCCCUAGAGAUGGGGCUGUCUGUGCUCUGGAGGAUUUUGCAGAGGUAACAAAUCCCCCAAACUCUGGCAAUGCUUAUUAAUCCUAAAGCUCUCUAACCUCUCAGGCAGGGCUGCCCUGCAGGUUAAUGCUUCUGCCUUUUCUAAUGUGAUUUAUUGGAGUUCUCUGGUUGAUGCAUGGCACUGUCCAGUGCUCUCAUGUCCCUGCUGGGGCUGUAGCUGUCACCUGUGGGUCCUUCCUUUGGCACAUGAGGGUGGAGCUCAGUGCUCUGUAUUGCUCUGUGUGUCACCAGAGUGGAAACACAGAGACUUGAAAGAAGGAAAAGCCUUGUCCCAGCCCCAGGUGGAUCCCAAAGCACAGCCCAAGGGAUCUGCAGGCUCAGGUGUGCUGGAGUGAGCUGGAUUAUGGGGUCAGGGCAGGGGGUGGUGCUGUCACCAUGUCCCAUGGGCCCAGCAGGAAUUUGCACUUUGAGUCUUGUCCAGAUUUAGAUGUUCCCCCUGUGCCUCUCUGUGUGCUGCAGCUGUUCCAGAUCUCUCACACAUCAUUGGAGCUCUGCUGGUUGGGAGCAAAUUGUGGAUGUGGGCUCUGAGGGCUUUCCUGUGCCUCCUGCAUGGUCACAGGAGUGACAAUAACUCACCAGUUUAACCCAGUUCAGUGCUGAAGCCUUCCUAAUGCAGAAUUUGCAGCAAUUUCAGCCCUUUUGGAAGGGAGAAGUGCUCUGUCCACCUGCCAGCCAACUCCUCCAGAGGUCUGGGCAGGCAGAGGGUGUGGAAGGGAGAGGCUGCUGCUGCUCCAGCUUUUCUCCUCUGAGUUCUCAGCAGCCAGAGCCUGUGGCAUUGGUGGUGAUUGUGUUGGGAGUGUUUAAUUCAUUAUCCAGUGACCUUUCUAAUGAAUAUUAGAUUGGCUUAAAAAUCCAAAUACAAAAUGUCAGGAAGGAAACAUUUGCAUCCAAUUUUAAUCUUACUCUAAGAGUUUGAAGAGACAUUUGAUGUGCAGUGAGAAGAGAGGAGCAGAACAGAAGUUCUUCCCAUCUUCCACACCACCUUGCUCAGGAAAGACCAGGAGAGGUGUGUUCCUGUUAAACUCUUCCUGCUUGACCCUGCUUGAGCUAAAAUCUCACACAGCCUGUGGUGAGGAGGUGCAGCAGAAGCAGAACCCCUUGAAGCAGCCUUGAGCUGUGGCUGUGGUUCUGACCUCCUGCAGAAGGUCCUUACAUCAAACCCUCAAAAAUUUGGGGUUGCAUGCAUGGAAUUGAUACUGCAUUCAGCUGCUUUUGAAAGGAAGUGGAUGAGUUCAGUGUGCUGAGUUUUGUGAUGUUGCUUUUAAUUCUAGAUUUUCAUCUGAGUUGGGGCUUCCUCUUUAGUUAGUUGAAUCCCAAAGUGAUUCAUCUGGCAAGCAGAAAUGUUUCUGGUAGUUUUGUGGUGUUGUUCAGCAAGAAGCUCACACUGCAGGACUUCACCCUGUGAUGGUUCCUCCAUCCUGACCACCCACUGGGGGAUGGAAUCCUGUGGUGAGAGUGCUGAGUGUCUCUGGGUGGUACCUGCAGCAGCCUAAAAUCUACACUUGGGGGUAAAAAUCUGCUGGUGUGGUGACCCGUGGCUCAUUCCCAGGAAAAUCCCAGAGAGGGAGGAGUUUUGUACCCCCUGGAGCAGCUGCCUUGUGGUGUGACACUGAGAAAAGCUGAGCCCUUGGGUAGGGAAGCACAGAGCCCAUGGCCUGGGUGAUGUGGCUGUCACCAGCUGUGUGAAACAUCUGCAUCUCUCACUGAAUUUGGGCUGAGUGCAGCACCAGGCAGGGACAGUGCUGUCACCUCUGACCAUGCCACUCCUGCCUCAGAGAUACCCCUGAGGAAUUCAGCAGAGUCAUCCUUCAGCUCAUCUCUUUCCUUGAUGUUUUUCCUCAUAUUCCCUCACAAAUAACUUGUGUUAUAUUUGGAAAUGAUGUUUCAGCUUGCUAACAGCCAGUGAAUAUGAAAAAGCAGGAGAGGGGAUUGCCAUUUGACAGGGAUCUUUAUUAAUUUGGAAAGUAUGGCUUAGGGAGCCACUUUUCCAUAGAGAUAUGGGAUGGUUGUGCUCUGACAAGUGAGAAAAUGGUGAUUGUAGCCUGUUUUAUUUUUGAGGGAAUGUCUGGAGUUGAUAAUCCAGGAUUUUGUGUCUCCUGGAGAAAUGAAAGUGGCAAAAGAUCACUUAAAAGCAUUGCCUGACCUUGGUGUGAAGUCCUGUGCUGAAUGAGCCCAAGGAUUGUGAAUAAAUUAGGAGUUACAUAAGUCAGGAGGGGAAUGAGAGGGCUGAGGGAACUCUGAAUUCAGCCACACUCUAAUGAUUUCUCUUGGAAUGAGUAUUUCCCAUGAAGUUAAAGUAGUAUUAUGAAAAGCCAGGAGACUGACGUGCAGAAGUGGGAUCAUUUGAAUGGUACAUUUGAAAAUAUUUUUAUAAGCUCUUUGCCUUUUCCCUGUCAACUUUUUUUGACAAGUCUUGUUUGAAAAAAAUAAUUGUGCUGAAAACUUAGGGAUUUUAUUUUUCCUUUUGGAUUUGUGUGUUUAGUAUGAAGUAAUAGUUCUCUGCAAGACUGGAAUGAGUUUAAUCUCAUUUAAUUAGACCAGGGGAAGCUGAGUAGGUUGUGCUGCUGUUUCCUGGGUCAUAGCAGGGCCUGGGGAGGUUUGGAGAGGGCAGGAGGAAGGCUUGAUGUUUACUGGCCAUAUGGAGGGGGCUCUGAGGAAGGAUUGACCAGCUCUGGUCACAGGUCCAGCUCAUCCUUAGCCAGUCUGGGUAACAACUGGGUUCAACACAGAUUUGCUUCUCUAUUGUAAACAUUUUUGCCUGAUUGCAGCCUUGACCCUUUAAAAGCAGCCCCACCAUCAGUAUAGAAGCAGUUACAAAUUCCCCUACACCACAAACUGUGUCCUGUAUGAUUAAUUUGAAAUGUUUUAAGGCAUUGAUUUACUGUGUAUUCCCACAGUAUUCCCAAGACCAAGAUUCUCCUGAUCUUUUGUGAUAUCUCUGAGAGGUGAAUCCCAGUGUAGUGCUUUGCUAUGGCAACAGGAAUCACAGGAUUUGUCAUGGCAGAGCUGCUCCCCAGUCACAGCUCAGGUAAUGUGGGGGGCUCAGUGCAGCUCUGGAAUUCCUGAGGCAGCUCAUUCAGUGCUUGGUUAUUGUCUGAAAAUGCUCAGAGUGAAACCAAAAGGAGUCUCAAGGUGGGUGGCUGCUGGUCUGUGCUGGGGUUUGGAUUCUCUCCAGUACUCAGGAAAUAGAAGCAGGAGGUUCUGUUUAGGGCAGGGAUGUUCCUUUUGGGGCAGGAACUUUCCCUGUAGCCUUUGGUCCUGAAGAAAUACUUUCUGUCCCCUGCUUCCUCUGCCUGUUUAGCAAUAACUUCCUUCAUGUUUGCUUGUGUUUUUAGCCAAGUUUUGGCAUCAUUUCAGUGGAACUGUUCUGGAAGAGCUGCUUCCAUCUCCCUGGGGAGCAGCUCUGCUGAUGUAACUGUGAGGAGAGGGCAGGGCUGUGCCUGUGUCUCUCUUGGCAGUGCCAUGCAGGGCUGGGAACCCUUCCUGCAUCCUGGUUCCCUUCCACUCAGGCUGAAACAAUAAACCUGCACAGACUGGCAGGGCAGUGCUGUUCCUGCCCCACACUGAUUGUAUAAAUUAUCUGGUGAUACGGGCAGCAGCAGUUAAUAGAAAGUUCUUACUCUUUCAUUCUUUCAGCUAGGUAGCAAAGUCAGGUAUAACAAAUUUGUUAGCAAAUGCUAAAAUCCGAUUCUUCCAUCAAGCUGAAUUUUUGUUGCGUGGUUUUCAAUUAAAAGAAAAAGCACAAGUGGAUUUGUGCUCUGACUUGCAAAUUCUGUGAGGAUAAAUAUAGUCAGCACUCCCCCCCUCAGCAUCACUGUGGUGCAGUUCUUUGGCACAUUCCUCCCCAAAUCUGUUCAGAAAAGGGAAAACAUUCCCUCUUGCUCCAAGGGCUGAGCAGGGUGGAAGAGCAGGAGUGUCUGACAAGUGCUGGAAGCUGCUCAGAGCUGCAGGUGAGGCUCAGGCAGGAAAUGUCCUCUCCUGGCAGCCCCUGGGGGUGAGAUGGAGCCAGAUCUGAGUCCCCAUUCCAGGGCACUGCCAGGUGGCUGCAGGCACUGCCUUUGCUGGAUGUUCUCAGGCUGUGGGGAGCAAUAAACAGAGCUCUGACCACUCAAGCAACUGAGAUCAGUCACAAAUGUGAUCUCUUGGCAGCUGCAGCUUGGAGAAAUGAGCUCAGGGUUUGAAUUCCAAGGUUUUGAAUGCUGGUGCUGUCACCUGCUCGCCAAAUGGCCCCAGCUCAGAUAUUCAUGUGCUUUCCAUUUGUUGGCUGCUCUGAUCUCGUGGAGCAGAGGGUGGAUGGGUGUCAGGCCUGUGAACAUGGAACAAUGAGCAUCUGAGGGGCUGAGGAGUGUCACAUUUCUUUCUGGGUUUUGGAGCUUUGUAAUAAAUACAGGAAAACACAGGAGAGGGGGAUAAAAAUGCUUAACAGUGCCUUUAUUCAUUAGGUAUGGGUUGGUUUGGCAGUCUUACCAAGAAAUAGCUGUGAUCACUCUUAUCUUCUUGUAUCUUCACUUGUCCUCACAGGAACCUCAAUCCUGGCAUGGAGGAGCAUUUCCAUGCUUGUGUUUGCAGCACACAUCACAGCAGUGGUUUUGAGUGAUGUUUUCAUGUGAGCUUAGCUUGAGAAACCUGGCCUGCUGUGGUUGCUCUCAUCAUCCCCAUCUUCACUGCUGUGUUAAACUCAGCAGAGCACAGACCAAGGGGGAGGUUUGCUCAGUGCCUCAGUGUCCUUUGGGGGAAGCAGUUGCCCCCUUGUUUGCUUUUGGAGGUGUAAGAUCCUUCCCUUGAUUACAGGUGGUGAGUUUGUGUUGCUUGAGCGGGUGUGGCCAGUGAGAUCUGCAGUCCUUGUGCUUUCAGUGUUUGUUGUGACAGACUGCCCUGGCCUGGCUGGGCACGAGGCCUUCUGGCCCUUGGUGCUGGUGCAGUGGAAGAGCAGUUUUGUUAAACUGGGAGAGGCAGUGGCCCUGCACAGCCUGCCUCACUCCUCAGUGCAGCCCUGAAUCACAGCAGCCCCUUCAGCCCUGUCCACUUCCCAAGAUGAACACAGACAGCAGCUCUUACCUUGAAUUCCUGUCCUCAGUCAAACCAGGAAUUGUGGUUUUGCUCCAGCUCCUCCUUUGUUGCUCAUUAAUCCAUUGCCCAGCAUUUGGGGUAGGGAUGUUUUUUGACCCAGACUCCACUACAUUCCUUCCCCUGCAAAAGGAGCUCUGGUGCCUCAGUGCCAAACCUCAGCUUGGCUUUCUGCAAGUGACAUCCUUGGUUUGUGUUCUGCAAAGUUUUGAGCUCCCACUGGAAGUUUUCCAGUGAUUGGGAUGUUUACAACUUGACUUUCUCUUGUCAUUUCUCCCCUGCUUAGUAAGGAUUAAAUUGACAGGGCAGUUUCUGUGUUCUUGGAAAAAACUCCCUCCUCUCUGGAACUUUGUUUGCUACCAAGGAUGAGGGACCUUUGUUUAAAUCUCUUGAUUGUUUUGACCCCUUCCAGAAAUCUGACAUAAACAGGAUGAGCUCACAGAUCUAAUUCCCAAAGGGGACUGGGAUUAAAGCUUGCCCUUGUUUGUUCAUUUGCUUCUUGCAGCAAUUGGAAUGAGUUUGAUAAUGUGGUGUCACUUUUAGCCAGUGAGGAGCACCCCAGGCUUGUGCAUCAGUGAAAAUGAGUGGAUUUUCUCCUUUUUCCCUUUACUGAAUGAGGAGUCUGAAUUUUCAGCAGGACAGCUCUUGUUUUCUCACAGACUCUUAGGGAGCCCAGUGCUGCCAAGGCCACCACGAACCCCUGUCCCCAGGUGCCACCUCUACACACCUUUUAAAUCCCUCCAGGAUGGGGACUCCUGGGUUCUGCCUAGGCUGGACAGCCCCUCCCAUGAAGAAAUUUCCCCAAUAUCCAACCUAAACCUUCCCUGGCACAGUUUGAGGCUGUUCCCUCUUGUCCUGUCCCUUGUUCCUGGAAGCAGAGCCAGCCCCCCAUGCUGUAGCAGUCCUGGGAGUGUUGAGUGUUGCAAAAUUCACAUCUUCAAAAAUGCAACUCAUUCAUGAGCACAGAGACUCCUCCCUGUCUCCCUGUUCCCAGACAGUGCAGCUGAAGGUGAGCCCUGGCCCUGUGGCUCCAUUCCAGGUUGGUUGUUCACUCCAGGCUCCUGUUUCCCUUGCAGAGCCUGCAGUGGGGUUUGUGCUGAGUGAACAAACCAGCCCUUACCCAGCCCGUGCUGUGCUCAUGAACCUGCCCUGCACUGAGUCCCUUUGCAGGAGCAGCUGAAAGCCCCUGGAAGGUUGUGUCUCACUGUGGGUUUCAGUUAAAGAUGACAAAUAAGGAGAAAUCUUCCAUGUCCAACAAGAUCAGAUGCUGUUGUCUGUGUCCUCUGGAGAUGCUGAGUUUAUGAAAUUCUCCUUCAGUGACAAGUGUGAUAUCAAUCACUCCUCUAGGAUUUGUUUGUA